rnacentral:rRNA from 1 species
GGCGCUUGAAGAUGAGCCCGCGUCCGAUUAGCUAGUUGGCGGGGUAAUGGCCCACCAAGGCUUCGAUCGGUAGCCGGCCUGAGAGGGCGGACGGCCACACUGGAACUGAGACACGGUCCAGACUCCUACGGGAGGCAGCAGUGGGGAAUUUUCGCAAUGGGCGCAAGCCUGACGAAGCAACGCCGCGUGGAGGAUGAAGGUCUUCGGAUUGUAAACUCCUGUCGACCGGGACGAAUGCACUCGACCUAAUACGUCGGAAUGUUGACGGUACCGGUGGAGGAAGCCACGGCUAACUCUGUGCCAGCAGCCGCGGUAAUACAGAGGUGGCAAGCGUUGUUCGGAAUUACUGGGCGUAAAGGGCGCGUAGGCGGCCUUAUAAGUCUCGUGUGAAAGCCCCUGGCUUAACUGAGGAUCUGCACGGGAUACUGUAAGGCUCGAGUUCGGGGAGAGGGAAAAGCCGGGAAUUCCGGGUGUAGCGGUGAAAUGCGUAGAUAUCCGGAGGAACACCAGUGGCGAAGGCGGCUUU